rnacentral:rRNA from 1 species
CAAUAGCGUAUAUUUAAGUUGUUGCAGUUAAAAAGCUCGUAGUUGGAUUUCGGGCGGGGCCUGCCGGUCCGCCUUUGGUGUGCACUGGCAGGGUCCGCCUUGCUGUCGGGGACGGGUUCCUGGGCUUUACUGUCUGGGACUCGGAGUCGACGUGGUUACUUUGAGUAAAUUAGAGUGUUCAAAGCAGGCUUACGCUCUGAAUACAUUAGCAUGGAAUAACGCGAUAGGACUCUGGCCUAUCUUGUUGGUCUGUGGGACCGGAGUAAUGAUUAAGAGGGACAGUCGGGGGCAUUCGUAUUUCAUUGUCAGAGGUGAAAUUCUUGGAUUUAUGAAAGACGAA